UGUUGCCAAGUCAAUUUUCUUCUAUCAAUCUCUAAUUGAAGUAUGAAAUACAAUAUUUGUCUGCAGUGUAUGCUAGAAAAGCAACAUUUUCAUCCGUUUGCACACUAACUUAACUUAAGAAAAACAAAUGUGAAAAUAUAAGUAAUAACUUGAAAGAAUUACAUGAAUCAAAGUUUUCCCUCCUUUGAUUGUAUUAAAGGAGAGAAGUACCAGCAUGGUUAUGGUGUAGAAGAUUAUGAGCAAUAGCAUCCCUUGCAAGCCUAGCAUUGGUCGAUCUCAAUUGAAUCUCUGGAAGCAUUUCAUCAUCAAUGAGCUCGAAAUUGAGUUCUGGAUCCAUCUCCUCAUUCCUCAUCUGGCAAAUAUUAUGCAAGACGCAGCACGCCCCUAGCACCACUGGCAAAUCUUGUAGUUUCACCUCUGUUCUUUUCUGCAAACAAGACCAUCUCCUUUUCAACCUUACAAACGCCUCCUUUGCCACCCGUUGAACCUCACCAAUCUUCUCAUUGAAAGCAUGUUGAGUCCAAGUUAGCUGCUGCUGUGUAUAAGGCACUAAAACCCAAUCCAUUAAAGGGUAUCCAGAACUACCAACAAUCCAAACGUUGUUCAGUAACCCUGUAUUCGCCCUCUGGAAAAGGGCGGAUUUCUCCAGUACCUGAUCAUCAGGCAUCGAACCAGGCCAACCGAUACACACAUCAGUAAACACCCCUCUUGGAUCAACAACCCCUUGAACUGUAAUCGAAUACGAAGUCUUCUGAUUCCUCUCUGUAUGCCUCUUAUUGAAAUAAGCUGCAACGCUAAUUUUCGGAGCAAUUAUAGGUAUAUGAGUUGUAUACAUUGAUCCCACAACAUUUGUGAUCCCUGACAUAUCCUCAUACUCAUCCUUUAUAUCCCUCAUUUUCUUCUCAUCAGGCCAUUGAAGAUACUUAGGCAUCAACACAGUUCGAAUCGCAGUACAAACCUCUAGCACAAGCUUAUGGCAAGUCGAAAUCCCCAAUCCAAAUCUCUUGGAUACCAAUCUCAGAGGCUCUCCAGUAGCCAAUCUCCAUAUACAAACAGCAACACGCUGCUUCACAGGUACAGCAUCUCUUAGCAUAGUAUUCUCUUUCGCAACCACAGAAGUCAAUUCAUUACAUAUCAAUUCAAAUGUAUCUUUCCCCAUCCGAAACGCUUUCUUAAACUCCUCUUCAGGGAAAUCAGGACUGUUACAUUGAUCCCACCAAGCUUUUGACCUAUUCUUCACCCACAAUCGCCUAUGAGGCGCACCUUUAUCGGUAGAUUUAUUACUGGAAACCCCUUCUUCCUCUGCAGCUGCAGAAGCAAGGGCACAAGCAGUAGCAGUAAGAGCAGCAGAAUUCCCUCUCCCUUUCCUCUUUCGAACACCAUCUAACUGUUCUAAAUCAGAAUGAUGCUGUUGAACAUUGGAAUAAUAAUCCCACAUCACUUUCGUUGUUUUCUUAUGAUUGGCUUCGAGUAAGUGUUUAUCCUCUUCCUCUUCCUUUGCAAAUUCCGAUUUUUCUUGCUCUUCAAGUAACAACAAAGAGGUUAAUAUCUG
rnacentral:misc_RNA from 1 species